AGGAUAAACGCUGGCGGCGUGCCUAACACAUGCAAGUCGAACGUCUCUUCUUUCGGGAAGAGGAGUGGCGGACGGGUGAGGAACACGUGGGAACCUGCCCUUCAGUGAGGAAUACCGGCGAGAAAUCGCCGACAAGACCGCAUAGCCCUCUCUGGUGAGAGCCAGAGAAGGAAAGCUUCGCAAGAGGCGCUGGAGGAGGGGCCUGCGUCCGAUUAGCUAGUUGGUGGGGUAAGAGCCUACCAAGGCGUCGAUCGGUAGCUGGUCUGAGAGGACGAUCAGCCACACUGGGAUUGAGAACGGCCCAGACUCCUACGGGGGGCAGCAGUGAGGAAUUUUCGGCAAUGGGGGAAACCCUGACCGAGCAACGCCGCGUGCAGGAGACGGCCUUCGGUGUAACUGCUUUCUUUGGACGAGCAAGGACGGUACCAGAGGAAUCAGCCCCGGCUCACUACGUGCCAGCAGCCGC
rnacentral:rRNA from 1 species